UCAAAGAAACUGUUUGGGCUGCGUUCACU
rnacentral:piRNA from 1 species